rnacentral:rRNA from 1 species
UACGUAGGGGGCAAGCGUUGUCCGGAAUCAUUGGGCGUAAAGCGCGUGUAGGCGGUUCGGUAAGUCGGCUGUGAAAGUCCAGGGCUCAACCCUGGGAUGCCGGUCGAUACUGCCGGACUAGAGUUCGGAAGAGGCGAGUGGAAUUCCCGGUGUAGCGGUGAAAUGCGCAGAUAUCGGGAGGAACACCAAUGGCGAAGGCAGCUCGCUGGGACGUUACUGACGCUGAGGAGCGAAAGCGUGGGGAGCGAACAGG